rnacentral:rRNA from 1 species
UACGAAGGGGGCUAGCGUUGCUCGGAAUUACUGGGCGUAAAGCGCACGUAGGCGGUCUUUUAAGUCGGUGGUGAAAUCCUGGAGCUCAACUCCAGAACUGCCUUCGAUACUGGAAGACUUGAGUCCGGGAGAGGUGAGUGGAACUCCGAGUGUAGAGGUGAAAUUCGUAGAUAUUCAGAAGAACACCAGUGGCGAAGGCGGCUCACUGGCCCGGUACUGACGCUGAGAUGCGAAAGCGUGGGGAGCAAACAGG